rnacentral:rRNA from 1 species
UCAGGAAUUUUGCGCAAUGGGGGAAACCCUGACGCAGCGACACCGAGUGAAGGAUGAAGGCUUUAGGGUCGUAAACUUCUUUUAUCUAGGAACAACACAAAUGAGUACUAGUUGAAUAAGCAGCUGCUAACUGCGUGCCAGAAGCAUCGGUAAUACGUGGGCUGCAAGCGUUAUCCGGAAUUAUUGGGCGUAAAGAGAAGCGUAGGCGGCUUUGUAAGUCUUUUGUUAAAUCCCCAGGCUCAACCUGGGAAAGGCAAAAGAUACUGCUUAGCUUGAGGCAGAGAGGGGUAAGUGGAAUUCCCAGUGGAGCGGUAAAAUGCAUUGAUAUUGGGAGGAACACUAGUGGCGAAAGCGACUUACUGGCUCUUGCCUGACGCUAAGGCUCGAAAGUGUGGGGAGCGAAACGG